UACGUAGGGGGCAAGCGUUGUCCGGAAUCAUUGGGCGUAAAGCGCGCGUAGGCGGCCCGGUAAGUCCGCUCUGAAAGUCCAGGGCUCAACCCUGGAAAGCGGGUGGAUACUGCCGGGCUAGAAUCCGGAAGAGGCGAGUGGAAUUCCUGGUGUAGCGGUGGAAUGCGCAGAUAUCAGGAGGAACACCGGUGGCGAAGGCGGGACUCUGGGCCGAUACUGACGCUGAGGAGCGAAAGCGUGGGGAGCGAACAGG
rnacentral:rRNA from 1 species